CCCUAUACAUGCAAGUCGAGCGAACAGACAAGGAGCUUGCUCCUUUGACGUUAGCGGCGGACGGGUGAGUAACACGUGGGUAACCUACCUAUAAGACUGGGAUAACUUCGGGAAACCGGAGCUAAUACCGGAUAAUAUUUCGAACCGCAUGGUUCGAUAGUGAAAGAUGGUUUUGCUAUCACUUAUAGAUGGACCCGCGCCGUAUUAGCUAGUUGGUAAGGUAACGGCUUACCAAGGCGACGAUACGUAGCCGACCUGAGAGGGUGAUCGGCCACACUGGAACUGAGACACGGUCCAGACUCCUACGGGAGGCAGCAGUAGGGAAUCUUCCGCAAUGGGCGAAAGCCUGACGGAGCAACGCCGCGUGAGUGAUGAAGGUCUUCGGAUCGUAAAACUCUGUUAUUAGGGAAGAACAUACGUGUAAGUAACUAUGCACGUCUUGACGGUACCUAAUCAGAAAGCCACGGCUAACUACGUGCCAGCAGCCGCGGUAAUACGUAGGUGGCAAGCGUUAUCCGGAAUUAUUGGGCGUAAAGCGCGCGUAGGCGGUUUUUUAAGUCUGAUGUGAAAGCCCACGGCUCAACCGUGGAGGGUCAUUGGAAACUGGAAAACUUGAGUGCAGAAGAGGAAAGUGGAAUUCCAUGUGUAGCGGUGAAAUGCGCAGAGAUAUGGAGGAACACCAGUGGCGAAGGCGACUUUCUGGUCUGUAACUGACGCUGAUGUGCGAAAGCGUGGGGAUCAAACAGGAUUAGAUACCUGUGGGAAGUCCAAUAGGA
rnacentral:rRNA from 1 species